CUACACAUGCAAGUCGAGCGCACCCUUUCGGGGCGAGCGGCGGACGGGUUAGUAACCCUGUGGGAAUGUACCCUUCUCUAUGGAAUAGCCUCGGGAAACUGAGAGUAAUACCAUAUACGCCCUUCGGGGGAAAGAUUUAUCGGAGAAGGAUCAGCCCGCGUAAGAUUAGAUAGUUGGUGGGGUAAUGGCCUACCAAGUCUACGAUCUUUAGCUGGUUUUAGAGGAUGAUCAGCAACACUGGGACUGAGACACGGCCCAGACUCCUACGGGAGGCAGCAGUGGGGAAUCUUAGACAAUGGGCGCAAGCCUGAUCUAGCCAUGCCGCGUGUGUGAUGAAGGCCUUAGGGUCGUAAAGCACUUUCGCCAGGGAUGAUAAUGACAGUACCUGGUAAAGAAACCCCGGCUAACUCCGUGCCAGCAGCCGCGGUAAUACGGAGGGGGUUAGCGUUGUUCGGAAUUACUGGGCGUAAAGCGCACGUAGGCGGAUCAGAAAGUUGGGGGUGAAAUCCCAGGGCUCAACCCUGGAACUGCCUCCAAAACUCCUGGUCUUGAGUUCGAGAGAGGUGAGUGGAAUUCCGAGUGUAGAGGUGAAAUUCGUAGAUAUUCGGAGGAACA
rnacentral:rRNA from 1 species